UACGGAGGGAGCUAGCGUUGUUCGGAAUUACUGGGCGUAAAGCACACGUAGGCGGCUUUGUAAGUUAGAGGUGAAAGCCCCGGAGCUCAACUCCGGAACUGCCUUUAAGACUGCAUCGCUUGAAUCCAGGAGAGGUGAGUGGAAUUCCGAGUGUAGAGGUGAAAUUCGUAGAUAUUCGGAAGAACACCAGUGGCGAAGGCGGCUCACUGGACUGGUAUUGACGCGUGAGGUGCGAAAAGCGUGGGGGAGCAAACAGG
rnacentral:rRNA from 1 species